UACGUAGGGUGCAAGCGUUGUCCGGAAUCAUUGGGCGUAAAGAGCGUGUAGGCGGCCCGAUAAGUCCGCUGUGAAAGUCCAGGGCUCAACCCUGGAAUGCCGGUGGAUACUGGCGGGCUUGAAUCCGGGAGAGGGAUGUGGAAUUCCAGGUGUAGCGGUGAAAUGCGUAGAUAUCUGGAGGAACACCGGUGGCGAAGGCGGCAUCCUGGACCGGUAUUGACGCUGAGGCGCGAAAGCUAGGGGAGCAAACGGG
rnacentral:rRNA from 1 species